CUUUUGGAUAUUUGUCUAUUUAUAAAUCUCAUAAUAUUGAAAUAUGUUAUAUAUAUAUAUAUAUGUUUUUUUUUUAUGAAUUAUAUUAAAAGAGCAAGAAAAAGUAAAAAAAAAAAAACAUCAUUUAUAAAAUAAAAUACUUAAAAUAUUGUGCAUAUAUAAAGUAUUAAGCUUAAAAAAAAAAAAAAAAAAGUUGUUAAAAAAAUAAAAGUUGUUUGUUUAAACGAUUUAAACUAUGUUAGAGUAAAAUCUUUAACUCUCUCCCAUUUAUAAGAUUUAUUUUACUUUGUUUUUUUUUUUUUUGAAUAAAUACAUAAAAAAAAAAUUAAUUUUUUAAAAAAAUUAGGCUUUUAAAGAAUUAAAACGGUUAACUAUAACCAAGUAUUACUAAAUAGUAAAAACUUUUAAAAUAUUGUCACUCUUCCGUUCAUUUUUGUCCUUGUCUUUGUUUUGUGCUCGUGUCUGUGCUCGUGUGAAUGAAUAUAUAGCUUACCAGUUCUUGUUCCAGUUUAUAUUUGUUUUUGUUUUUUUUAAACACUUACAAGCGCAACGCUCGCUUUCACACAUGCAUUUAUAUACAUUUAUUUAUUAAUUUAUUUAUUUAUUAAUUUAUUUAUUUAUUAAUUUAUUUAUUUAUUAAUUUAUUUAUUAAUUUAUUAAUUUAUUUAUUAAUUUAUUUAUUUAUUUAUUUACAUUCCCACUCCCCUUGCUGCUCUACACUCAUAUUUUAUUUUUUAAAGUACUUAAAAUGGCCACACACAUGGAACACCACGAAAAAAUUUCGAUAGCUGUUAAAAACAAAAAAGACAAUAUAAAAAAUUGUAAGUUGCAUGCAUUGACGUUUGCUACUCAUGAGCAAGGAUAUUAUAAGACUUUAUUAGAAAGUUGUAAAAAGUUAAACAUAAAUUUAAAAGUGUUAGGGUUUGGAGAAAAAUGGGAAGGGUUUAUAACAAAAUUAACAAAAGUAAAGGAGUAUUUAAAAGGUUGUGAUGAUGAUGAUAUAAUUAUGUUUAUUGAUGGGUUUGAUAGUUUUUUUAUUCAACCAGCACAUGUAAUAAUAGAAAGAUAUAUUAUGAAUUAUGAUAAUUUAUUUGUAUGUACAAGUGAAAGCACUUAUACUAGUAAUUUUUUUUUGUUUAAAAUAUUACAGAAUAUGCAUUUAGUUAUUCAUAAUAGUAUUUUUAACUUUAGUAAUGAUGUAAAUUGGAACUAUGAAUAUAUAAAAAACAAAUAUAAAGACUUCACUCAUUUUAAUAGUAAUUUAAAUUUGCUAAACUCUGGUGGGUGGAUAAGUAGAGUUUCUAUAGCGAAAAACGUUUUGCAUUUUAUACCUUCUUUUAUUGAAAAUGAUCAAUUAUUUUUAACUAAUUUGUAUUUAGAUUGUGAUUAUUUAACUAAAAUGGACAAACAAAAAAAAAUUUUAAAAAAGGAAUGUAAAAAAGGAGCAGAAGGAGAAGGAGAAAAUAUCCCAAAUGAACUGCUCACUGUCAAGCAGAAUAUUCAAUAUUAUAACAAAAUUAUUAUUGAUAAUAAUAAUAUUAUUUUCCAUUUGUUCAGAAAAAAAAAAGAUAUAAUGUUGUUAAAGUAUGAAGAUUGUUUAAAGUUUUUCCCAUUUAAGCCAUUGUUAAAAGAGUAUUACACAGAUGACAAAAAAAAUUCAGCUCAUGGAGAUAAUAAUAAUAUUGCCAGUAGUAGUGGUAGUAGUACUGGUAGUAGUACUAGUAGUAGUACUGGUAGUAGUGACAGGAAAGAUACCAAAACUUGUAAUUCAACAAAAAAAGAAAUAAAUAAAAAUAAUGAAAAUAAAAUUGAAGAUGUGGGUAACGAGCGUUCCAUUAGUAAUAAAACGAAUUCAAAUAAAGUCGAUAUUUAUAAACAAAAUAAUAUAACACGACAUGAAUUAAUGUCAUGUAAGACUAUAUUAGACGAUGUUUAUAUGGGUGCCAAUAAAGACUAUAGCAAAAAUAAAAAUGAAAGAAAAAUAUGUGAAAUUGAAAAAACAUUUAAUUAUACAGUGUUAGAUAAGCACACAAAAACAAGCCCAUGUGUUCUACAUAUACAUUGUAUGAGAAAUGUAGAUGAUAUAGUAACAAAAAUUGGGUUAGACAAUAUUUAUAUGUCUAAGUGGUAUAGUAAUAUAUGGUAUUUAUUUUAUAGUUUGAAAGGUACUUUAAAUAUUCAUUAUUUUAGCUUACUAUUUUCAAUUGCUAUAGGACUUCUUAGCUUUGGUUUUAUUCAUAUAAAAUAUAUUUUGAAACUUUUAUUUUAUAUUGACACAAAUUUUAAUAUAAAUUUUAUAAAUAAAAAAACACAUAUUAAUAAAGCUUUAGUUUUAUUAAAUAAAAUGGAACCAUCUUGCUUUCUUU
rnacentral:lncRNA from 1 species